CCGCCCGUCGCUCCUACCGAUUGAAUGAUCCGGUGAAGUGUUCGGAUCGCGGCGACACGUGUGGUUCGCUAUGCGCGACGUCGCGAGAAGUCCACUAAACCUUAUCAUUUAGAGGAAGGAGAAGUCGUAACAAGGUUUCCGUAGGUGAACCUGCGGAAGGAUCAUUGUCGAUACCUGUCCAAAACAGAACGACCCGAGAACGAACUAUCAUCACCUCUGGCGGGCCGGUCUCUUAGCCGAUUCCGCGCCUGCUGGAUCCGUGGUUUCGCGAGCAGCCCGUCUCCGGACUUGUCUGCGCGCGUUGCUUCCGGAAAUCACAAAACCCCGGCACGAAAAGUGUCAAGGAACAUGCAACUAAACGGCCCUGCAUCCGCGGCCCCGGAGACGGUGUGCAUCGGAUGCUCGGCCGGAAUAUCUAAAGUCUAAAACGACUCUCGGCAACGGAUAUCUCGGCUCUCGCAUCGAUGAAGAACGUAGCGAAAUGCGAUACUUGGUGUGAAUUGCAGAAUCCCGUGAACCAUCGAGUCUUUGAACGCAAGUUGCGCCCCAAGCCUUCUGGCCGAGGGCACGUCUGCCUGGGUGUCACAAAUCGUCGUCCCCCCCUCCAUCCUUAGUCGGAUGCGAACGGGACGGAAGCUGGUCUCCCGUGUGUUACCGCACGCGGUUGGCCAAAAUCCGAGCAAAGGACGUUCGGAGCGUCCCGACCUGCGGUGGUGAAAACAAAGCCUCUCGUUAUACGGUCGGACGCUCCUGUCUCUGAGCUCCAGAUGACCC
rnacentral:rRNA from 1 species